UUGAAAGGGAAACGAUUGAAGUCAGUCAUGCCGCGGGGAAUCAACUAAGGGGAAACUCUGAGUGCACUUCUUCGUUUGGCUGGUUAGUGUCGAUUUUGGAUGUCAUAAAAUAAUUGGGGGAAGGUAGCUCUUUCGGGAGUGUUAUAGCCCUUGGUAGAUGUGAUGUCUGGGAUCGAGGAUUGCAACGGAUACCCUUUGGGGCUAACCGCCUGAUCUCUAAUUGUUGUUGGGUUACGGAAAGCAUGCUAACCGUGAUCUACUUACUGGUUAAAAGGUUAGAACGUGUAUAAAUUCGUUAAGGAUGUUGACGUA
rnacentral:rRNA from 1 species